rnacentral:lncRNA from 1 species
UGAAGCUGAGCCUGGCACAGCACGAACUUCUUCUGCCAGCAGGACAUCCACAGUGUGCUGCCAGGAUUUAGAGCUAGUCACCUCUUGCAGAGCCCUCGAGGGGACAGCACUGGAGACCGUUCCUACCAGUGAUGUGACCAUACUUGGGAUGCUACGAAGACAUGCAUGUGAUACCUGAUAAUUGAUGCUGAUCACCAAGGCACAUCCCGCAUAGCUCUGCUGUUACUGUUGAAAGGUUUAUCCGCUUUUUGCUGGUUCUACUUUGGUCGCAUAAGUUUCCUUGAAACGUAAGCAGCGCUAGCAAACCAUUCAAAGCAAAACAUGUACCUAUCUACUGUUUUGAGUAUAUCUAAGGAUUUAUGACUUUGUGUAGUCGCACUGGAAUUUAUUUCUUUUUCAGGAACUUGAGAACAUAGAGUUAUAAAAGAUUUAAUGGAGCCAGAAAUAUUGUUAUUGCUUUCUACAGGAGUGCCAAAUGGGUACUGAAAUACCGGUGAUAUUGCUCAAUAUUUCACAGAAUCACAGAACAAUUAAGGCUAGGAGGGACCUCAGGAGGUGUCUUAUUCAGCCCCCUGCUCACAGAAAAAAGCAUCAGUUCAGGGAGAUGGUGAGGUCUCAGGCAACCAGAUAUCAGGAAAAAUCCCCUGUUUAGUGCUCAGAGGAGCCCCAAGACAUACUUCAGGAUUGAAGGCAAGACAGAGAGAGGUAUAUUUCAUAAUCUUUCAUAGAAACUGAUUUUACGUAAGUUCUUAUGCAAAUAUGAGGAUACUCAUAAUAAUAUUACUGUUUGGCAGAAAAUUAGUGAUGACACUGAUCAACCGCCAGGCUUUACUGGUUGUCUUGUUA